GCCAGGAGUCCAGCCCGAUGCAUCACCCAGAUGCUCUGCUGGUAGGGCAGUCAAGUGGCCUUUAAUCAGCCUGGGGGCUACAUGCAGGUAGUUAUUUUGUGCCCCGACCUGGGAUUCCCCGGCACGGAUUCGGGAUUUCCCCUAAUGGAACCCCUGGAGAAAAUACUGGCCACCCACAUGUUACCCACUGAAGAAGCAAAUGACCUCAUGAGCUUAGAGACCGGAAUCUUGGAGGGCCAGCUGUACCACUCCCUCAGUUCAGUGAGUUAAGCCAAGACAGAAUUUCUAGAGGACUGAGGCCUGAUGGUAUCUAGCCUCUGCACUCAAAGCUUUUUUUUUUUUUUUUUUUUUUUGUGGGGGCAGGCAGGGAGAGCCCAGUCCAAUCAUGGCAUCCCAAUGUUCAGCUGGUUUUCUACUUCAGACUGGUUGUAUAUAUUUUAUUAUUAUAAAACAGUGUUUUACAGUUACAAACAAGGGUCAUAUGAACAACUUUCCUAACUCCUUUUCCAUAGUGACUGGCCUCCCAGUUUUAUGUCAGAAUGGAAUAGGUCACUUUUUUAAAAAAAGAUUCAUUUAUUUAUUUGAAAGGCAGAGUUACAGAGAGGCAAAAGCAGAGAGAGAGAAAGAGGUUUUCCAGUUGUUGGUUCACUCUCCAGAUGGCCACAAUGGCCAGGUUAGGUAGAUCCAAAUCCAGGAGCCAGAAGCUUCUUUCAGGUCCUCCACAUGGGCAAAAAGACCCGAGGACUUUGGCCAUCUUCCACUGCUUUCCCAGGCCAUAGCAGAGAGCUGGAUCAGAAGUGCAGCAGUCAGGACCCGAACCAGUGCCCAUAUGGGAUGCCAGCACUGCAGGCUGUGGCUUUACUUGCUAUACCACUGCACUGGCCCCCAAAGAGGCCAUUUUAAAGCAAUAGAACUUUAUUCAACUAAGUGUUACCUUUUAAAAUACCCAUCUGAGGAGGCUUUGCACAUUUUUUUGGCUUCUAAGUAAUUUUUUUUAAGAUUUUAUUUAUUCAUUUGAGAAGUAGCGUUACAGACAGUGAGAGGGAGAGAGAGAGAAAGGUCUUCCUUCCAUUGGUUCACCCCCUAAGUAGCCACAAUGACUGGAGCUUGCCGAUCCAAAGCCAGAAGCCAGUUGCCUCUUCCAAGUCUCCCACGUGGGUGCAGGGUCCAAGCAUUUGAACCAUCUUCUACUGCUUUCUCAGGCCACAGCAGAGAGCAAGAUUGGAAGUGGAGCAGCCGGGACCAGAACCGGUGCCCAUAUGGGAUGCCGGUGCCACAGGUGGAGGAUUAACCUACUCUGCCAUGAUGCCAGCCCCAGCUUAACCCCUGAUAUGACUAGACAUAAUUUGUGGCAGCCAAGAUUGUAAACGGAGCCUGUGCAGAUCCACUCAGACUGACCUGAGAGUUACCUUAUGCUUCAUUAUCACGUGAGCUCCUGGGAGAUGAAGACACCAAAGACCACAGACUGAACCUGGGCUUCGUGGGGCUGGCAUUUUAAGCUGUUAAGAGGCUGCUUGGAACUCCC